CACACACACACACACACACACACACACUCUCACACACACACACACACACACACACACACACACACUGAGGAUACGACCCAGUCCCCAGUGUCCAGCUCUCUCUGCAUCACCGUAGCUGUGAAUGUGGAUGAUAUGCAGUGCAAUGAUUUAUUGAUUCCAAGCUGCGACGAUGUCAGGCUGUCAUCAAUGCAAGAGGACAUCAUACGCGCUACUGAUUGUGUUACUUUUGUAGACCACCCCCACACUCUUAUUUUCCUUACUUCUCUUCCCAAGUUACGUCACAUUACAAGUAUAUGAUCGAGCAUCUUCAUCUACAUUGAAAGCAGUUUUUUGUCCCAUCACUCAUGAACCAGCUGAGAUCUUGGCUAUAUGGCCGAGACUUUGAAGAGACCACCAAGUAUCCUGCCUGCUUUUUAACUCACUUGAGUCUUUUCCCGCACCUGUUGUGGGAAGCCUGGCGGAGUGCAUAUGACAUAAUAAUAUAUGCAAGGAGAUUAAAAGUAAUGGAGGAUGCUCUGUGGGCGGCACCGCACGCCUGAUAGAAGCCCUCUCUCGCAGCGGAACUGUGGUCUACCUGCACUGCACGAAUGCCCAACUCACGCACUGAAAUCCUGAUAAAGAAAGAAGGUUUUAUUCCCAGGUCCUUGAGAUUGGGCAAGUCAAUUAGUAAAAAUGCCUUCCACCUGUGUUGUGUUUAAAAGAACUGAUGUGAUGCUGCAGUGGACAGAAGUUUUCACAGUUUUCCCUUAUCCGAUCCAGAGCGCUGUCAGCGAUGGAUCAGAAAUAAUUCACGUAUACAAAGUGAUGGAAAACCUUGGACUCCAUCAAAGCACUCGCGAGUAUGCAGUGUUCACUUUGCACCCAGUGACUUCAAAACAGGCACUAAAAUCAAAGAAUUGAAAAAGACCGAUGUACCAACGGUAUUUCCCUCACAUCCAUCUCACAAGCAGAUCAAAAACACUCUCUGUCGACCGUCUCCAAAGAAACAUCGCCCUGAAACUCUGGAAAAUGUGCAAACUACAUCUGUGCCAUCAGUCAAGUUCAUUACGCACCCAAACACAGACCAUUCGUAUGCUGUGCCGGACAUAGAAACUGACUUGGAAAACACAAAGAGACAGCUCCGAAACGUAGCAGAAACGCUUGCACAAAAGAGCAAGGCAGUUAAAUUGUUGCACAAAAAGCUUAAACGUCGAGACAGUAAAAUUUAAAAGCUGCUCAGCAGCAUGGAGCAACAGAAAAUACUUUCUCAUGAGCAACAUGACUUGUUAACAUCUACCUUUGAUGCAAAAACACUUUGGCUAAUUGAUAACGAGAUUUCAUCAACACAAACUGCAUCUGCACAAGGCAUGAGAUACUCUGAAGAGCUCAAGAAAUUUGCUGUAACUUUACAUUUUUACAGCCGCCAGGCCUACGAUUAUGUGCGUCAGUACCUUUCUCUUCCCCACCCUUGCACAAUCCGAAAAUGGGCAUCAUCGCGACAUUGUAAUCCUGGCUUCAUAACAGAAGUUUUUGAAACGCUGAAGCAAAACAAAACUGAGGAUACAAAAGAUGUGGUAGUACUGUUUGACGGAAUGCAUUUGAAAAAAGCGUACACGUAUGACAAUGGCAGUAAAUCGUACUUCGGGGCAGUGGACAUGGGACAUUUGACUGUUGGUGAGGAUGGUACUUAAACUGGUCAAAGCUUAACUGUAUGGUGGUGGGCCUGAAAAAGGUUUUUAAGCAGCCUAUAGAGGCUAUUUUCUUAUUGACAAGAUUACUGCAGAAACCCAAGCACAAAUUGUGAGAGAUGCACUUAUUUUGCUGGAUGAAGCAGGCUACGCAGUCCACGGUAUUGUGUGGGAUGGAAAUUACACGAACCAAGCAACAGCAUCGGCACUAGGGUGUGUAUUAGAUCCCCACAACAUGAAGAACUGGUUUGAGCACCUAACGACAAAAGAACAAGUUUUUUUUGUAUUUGACGCAUGUCACCUCAUCAAAAACAUCAGGAACUGCUUGGGUGUCAUGAAAAUACUGUUGUCUAACAGAAAUCAAAUAAAAUGGGAGUAUAUAAUUCAUAGAGCUAGACAACAUUAAAAAAACUGAUAACCUAGUACUGGCAAACAAACUGAGACUGAGAGGCAAGCAUGUUAAUUUAGAACAAAACAAAAUGAAAGUUAAAUUUGCUGUUCAGACCAUCUCGGCAUCAGUUGCAACCGCAAUUGAUUUUCUUAGGGAUGACAUUGGAUGGUCUGCGUUUGAGGGAAGCUCAGAGACAAUGAAAUUUGUGCGUAUGUUUGACAGUCUGUUCGACAUAUGUGUAAUUCCUCUACACCCUUUGGCAAGGGCUUGAAAAGCCCAAUAACCAAAACAAACAUAGGGAAUAAAGAAAAACUAGUUGAUCAAGCUGUUUCUUACAUUUUACAGCAAAAAGACACCACAGGCAAGCUGAUCACUAGUGGUCGAAGAAAGACCGAAUUUAUUGGUUUCAUUUGCACGCUGAAGUCAGUCAUUGACCUAAGCAAGAGGCUUCUGUUUAGUGAAGGAUUCAAAUAUAAUUACCUGAUGACGUAUCAGCUGUUGCAAGAUCAUCUUGAGACUUUUUUCAGCCGCAUAAGGCGAAAGAAUGGCUGGAAUAACAACCCAACACCAGUACUAUUUAAGUGGGCCCUCAGGUCACUGCUGUUGAGAGAAUGGCGUCCUUCCUUCGGCCACAGAAAAUUGUGUUUCGCCAGCCCCUCAAGAUGUGCAUGUGGAAAAUCCAUCAAAUAAGCUCAUGCAGCCAGAAUCCCCACGGAGUGAGAAAACGAAUAAUGUCAUCAAACAGUUUGUUCAUAUUUUGGAGAAACCAAGCAUUUACCAUGACAAUGCUUUUUUUUACAUUAGUGGCUUAAUUUCAAGAAAAGUAGGUGGGAAAGUUAAAUGUACUAAAUGCUCUCAGGUUCUACAUGAGCAAAAACCCGACAACAAUCCUUCUUUAGCCUUCACACAGAGAUGCAAUAGAGGCGGCCAAGUGAUGUCGAAUGACAUGUUCAGUGUCAUCAAGGCAGCUGGUAAACAUCUGCGUUAGCUUCUAGUGAGCAGUGGGCCCAUUAAUGCUGUGAACAAAGGUUUGGUGUGAAGGAUUACAAGACAUGUCCUAGAAACAGUGGGCACUAAGGUAUUUCAGUCGAUUUGGGACCAUGGCCAGGACAUUCAUGAUGUGGAGACAGAGGAUAAUCCUGUCGAUCAAAUUAUCGGGGAGGCAUGUAGAAUAUAUGUCAACAUGAUAGCCCAUCACCAUGAACGGCUGCUGAGUGAUCGCUUCAUUAAUAAGGACGGAGGAACGCAACGACACAAGCUAACAAAGACUGUACUAUUCCUGCAUCAAUAAUAUUUCCUCAGAAUGACCAGAUUGACCAGGGUAAAGACCAGCUCUCCAAGAGGUCAGACUCGAAGUCUCUUGAUUCAAAACUGCAGCAAGCCGCCUUAAGGGUCAUCCCCCUAAAGACCGGGGACUGUCUCGGCUGCAAGCUUGUGGGUACAUCUGUCAUGAUGGCUAGUGGGAUCAUCGUCAUUGGCUCAGCUAUGGCUGGGAAAAAUCGGAAUCCUAGUCUUAAAGGCUUGAAAGGAGCUGCUUAUUUCUCUCUGUGCGGUUUAUUGUUUGUUGGAUUUGAAACGGCAGCUGUAUGCAGGCUGAUGGAUUGGGGACCUUUUGAUAAAUCUGUCAAACCUGACAUUGAAGGCACAGCAGGACACAGAUAGCACUCUGUGUGUGUGUGUGUGUGUGCGCGUGCUCGCAUGUGUGUUUGUGUGUAGUAAAUUCAACUUGCUUGUGGUUAGAGUUUACAAGCGAAUGUUUGUUGUAAGGUUUCUAUGUGUAAUGUGUGUUACAGAAAGAAAAAGGAGCUGGUGUUUAUAUUUUUUAUAGUUUUCUACUAAGUAUAUUUGGUAUAAUUGUUUUGUGUGUUUCAGUAUGUGUUCAUAUUUGCACACUUCAUUGAUUCUGGCAGAGUUUGACUGCUGAUACUGAUACUUGAUGGGAAAGGAAUAAAUGUCAAGUUGUUUUGUGUAUUGCACAGUGUUCAUAUGUCCUUAAUACAAUAUGUUCUUAACUGUACACAUGUGUAAAAUCUGUUGCGCAAUAAAAAAAAAUUACAAAGUUAUAAUGA